rnacentral:misc_RNA from 1 species
GAUGAAGAACGUAGCGAAAUGCGAUAAGUAAUGUGAAUUGCAGAAUUCAGUGAAUCAUCGAAUCUUUGAACGCACAUUGCGCCCGCCAGUAUUCUGGCGGGCAUGCCUGUUCGAGCGUCAUUUCAACCAUCAAGCCCCCGGCUUGUGUUGGGGACCUGCGGCUGCCGCAGGCCCUGAAAAGCAGUGGCGGGCUCGCUGUCACACCGAGCGUAGUAGCAUACAUCUCGCUCUGGGCGUGCUGCGGGUUCCGGCCUUUAAACCACCUUCAUAACCCAAGGUUGACCUCGGAUCAGGUAGGAAGACCCGCUGAACUUAAGCAUAUCAAUAAGCGGAGGA